GGGCGGGUGGCGGAACGGCAGACGCGCACGGUUCAGGUCCGUGUGUCCGUGAGGACGUGAGGGUUCAAAUCCCUCCUCGCCCAC
rnacentral:tRNA from 1 species